rnacentral:rRNA from 1 species
GAUGAACGCUGGCUGCGUGCUUAAUACAUGCAAGUCGAGCGAAGCGGGGACGGGUGAGUAACACGUGGAUAACCUCCUAUAAGCCUGGGAUAACUCCGGGAAACCGGAGCUAAACCGGCCACUUAUAGAUGGAUCCUCGCUGCAUUAUCUAGUUGGUAAGGUAACGGCCUACCAAGGCAACGAUUCAUAGCCGAUCUGAGAGGGUGAUCGGCCAAACUGGAACUGAGACACGGUCCGGACUGCUACGGGAGGGAGGAGUAGGGAGUUGUACGCAAGGGGCGAAAGACUGACGGAGCGACGCCGCGUGGGGGAGGAAGGUGUUGGGAUCGGAAAACUCUGUUAUUAGGGAAGCGGUACCUGAUCAGAAAGCCACGGCUAACUACGUGCCAGCAGCCGCGGUAAUAC